GACGAACGCUGGCGGCGUGCUUAACACAUGCAAGUCGAACGGAAAGACCCUGCUUUUGUGGGGUGCUCGAGUGGCGAACGGGUGAGUAACACGUGAGUAACCUGCCCUUGACUUUAGGAUAACUUCAGGAAACUGGGGCUAAUACCGGAUAGGAGCUCCUGCUGCAUGGUGGGGGUUGGAAAGUUUCGGCGGUUGGGGAUGGACUCGCGGCUUAUCAGCUUGUUGGUGGGGUAGUGGCUUACCAAGGCUUUGACGGGUAGCCGGCCUGAGAGGGUGACCGGCCACAUUGGGACUGAGAUACGGCCCAGACUCCUACGGGAGGCAGCAGUGGGGAAUAUUGCACAAUGGGCGGAAGCCUGAUGCAGCAACGCCGCGUGCGGGAUGACGGCCUUCGGGUUGUAAACCGCUUUCGCCUGUGACGAAGCGUGAGUGACGGUAAUGGGUAAAGAAGCACCGGCUAACUACGUG
rnacentral:rRNA from 1 species